GACGAACGCUGGCGGCGUGCUUAACACAUGCAAGUCGAACGGAAAGGCCCUGCUUUUGUGGGGUGCUCGAGUGGCGAACGGGUGAGUAACACGUGAGUAACCUGCCCUUGACUUUGGGAUAACUUCAGGAAACUGGGGCUAAUACCGGAUAGGAGCUCCUGCUGCAUGGUGGGGGUUGGAAAGUUUCGGCGGUUGGGGAUGGACUCGCGGCUUAUCAGCUUGUUGGUGGGGUAGUGGCUUACCAAGGCUUUGACGGGUAGCCGGCCUGAGAGGGUGACCGGACACAUUGGGACUGAGAUACGGCCCAGACUCCUACGGGAGGCAGCAGUGCGGAAUAUUGCACAAUGGGCGGAAGCCUGAUGCAGCAACGCCGCGUGCGGGAUGACGGCCUUCGGGUUGUAAACCGCUUUCGCAUGUGACGAAGCGUGAGUGACGGUAAUGGGUAAAGAAGCACCGGCUAACUACGUG
rnacentral:rRNA from 1 species